rnacentral:snoRNA from 1 species
ACCCUCCGGUUCCCUUUCCCAUUGCAUCUGAACCUGGUCUUGAUGGUCACACAAGGAGGAGAGAGGAACACUGAAGCCGGCCUCUGUGCUGUAGCCUGGUUGCACCCUGGGGGUGUUUCAGACACAC